AUUGAACGCUGGCGGCAGGCCUAACACAUGCAAGUCGAAUGGUAACAGGAAACUGCUUGCUGUUUCGCUGACGAGUGGCGGACGGGUGAGUAAUGUCUGGGAAACUGCCUGCUGGAGGGGGAUAACUACUGGAAACGGUAGCUAAUACCGCAUAACGUCGCAAGACCAAAGAGGGGGACCUUCGGGCCUCUUGCCAUCAGAUGUUCCCAGCUGGGCGUAGCUGGUAGGUGGGGUAACGGCUCACCUAGGCGACGAUCCCUAGCUGGUCUGAGAGGAUGACAGGCCACACUGGAACGGAGACACGGUCCAGACUCCUACGGGAGGCAGCAGUGGGGAAUAUUGCACAAUGGGCGCAAGCCUGAUGCAGCCAGGCCACGUGUAUGAAGAAGGCCUUCGGGUUGUAAAGUACUUUCAGCGGGGAGGAAGGGAGUAAAGUUAAUACCUUUGCUCAUUGACGUUACUCGCAGAAGAAGCACCGGCUAACUCCGUG
rnacentral:rRNA from 1 species